GAAAUAAUAAAUAAAUAAAGCUUCUAACUUUAUAAUAAUGAAUUAAAAAUUCAUUUUAUUUCU
rnacentral:tRNA from 1 species